UUAUGUACUCUUUGGGGAUCUCCUCUUGCCUUUCUUUCGUGCUGGUGAAUUUCUUAGAUCACCAUGUUGCCUGCUGUAGCCUAGUAGGUAUCAUGCUAAUUCUGUAGACCACUUUUCCGUGGUUGAUAUUGUAAGUUAAAUUUCUGUUCAUAAAAAAUGUAGCCAUUAGAUUAACGUUUUCUAUUUUUGUUAAUGCUCUUUCGCAGGGGUCUUGCUCCUCAGAACAAACCAGAAUUGCAGAAGGUGAUGGAAAAAAGAAAACGAGACCAAGUAAUAAAGCAGAAGGAAGAAGAAGCACAGAAGAAGAAAUCUGACUUGGAAAUAGAGCUAUUAAAACGGCAGCAGAAGUUGGAGCAGCUUGAACUUGAGAAGCAGAAAUUGCAAGAAGAGCAAGAAAAUGCCCCCGAGUUUGUGAAGGUGAAAGGCAAUCUCAGGAGAACAGGCCAAGAAGUCGCCCAAGCCCAGGAGUCCUAGGCUGAGGCUGCACCAAGACCUCGUGUGUCACCCCACAGAGCUGUCUGUGGGUGCCUUCUCAAUCUCAGGGCAAAAGCCCCUGGAGAAUAUUCCA
rnacentral:sRNA from 1 species